rnacentral:rRNA from 1 species
UACGUAGGGUGCAAGCGUUAAUCGGAAUUACUGGGCGUAAAGCGUGCGCAGGCGGUUUUGUAAGUCUGUCGUGAAAUCCCCGGGCUUAACCUGGGAAUGGCGAUGGAGACUGCAAGGCUAGAGUUUGGCAGAGGGGGGUAGAAUUCCACGUGUAGCAGUGAAAUGCGUAGAGAUGUGGAGGAACACCGAUGGCGAAGGCAGCCCCCUGGGUCAAGACUGACGCUCAUGCACGAAAGCGUGGGGAGCAAACAGG